UCCUCUUCUAUUCAUUAUUACAAUUUGCAAGAUCUGCAGAUAGGUGAGCAAAAAGCUAAGGUUUGGUAAGACAUUAAGCUAUUUAAAGCUGAAGAAAAUUGAUUUGGAAAUUCUUGUGAAUCUUGUUGGUGACAAGGAAAGAUAUUUAAAAUCUCACAUGGUGCUAAAAUCUUGGGAUCUUAGAGAAAUUUCUUUUCUGUACACCCUUCAUCCAAAGUUGAAUAUCUCUAUCUCACCCUGACUCCGGAUUGAAUAAGAUUGAUGGUGUUGAAAUUUUAUCGUUCAUAUCUAGAUCAGGUUAUUCUCGACAUUGUUUGAGAGAUACAGAUUGAAAAUGCAAGCCGUACUGGAUAAAAUUGUAGAAGCAAUAGUUGAGCCAGUGAUCCAGUUAGUGGUGGUCCAUGUUGGUUUUCUUUUUCAGUACAAGAAGAAGCUGAGGAACCUGGAAGAUGAAAUUGAAAAGCUUGAAAGGCAGAAAA